UUCCUCGGCCUCCAACCAUUGGACCGUUAGGCAGGGUUCUGAAAGCCUUCCUCGGCCUCCAACCAUUGAACCGUUAGGCAGGGUUCUGAAAGCCUUCCUCGGCCUCCAACCAUUGAACCGUUAGGCAGGGUUCUGAAAGCCUCCCUCGGCCUCCAACCAUUGAACCGUUAGGCAGGGUUCUGAAAGCCUCCCUCGGCCUCCAACCAUUGGACCGUUAGGCAGGGUUCUGAAAGCCUCCCUCGGCCUCCAACCAUUGGACCGUUAGGCAGGGUUCUGAAAGCCUUCCUCGGCCUCCAACCAUUGGACCGUUAGGCAGGGUUCUGAAAGCCUCCUGGGGGGAUAGGUUGGUUGCUGAGGGGACUACAGCAAGGAAUGAUUUUGCAGGGCUCACACUGGUUUUGUGGCUCAGCCAAUCAGAGAAGGUCCUGCCCCUGCAGUGUCCAGUGGAAACGCUCGGCAGAGGGUGUAAGGAAAGGUUUGUACCCCCAGCAGGGCAGAGAUGCCUGAGUUCUUGUAGAACCUACCGGGUACCGACCCAAAAGGCAGGAGAUGAGUGGCACUUGUAAUGAGACUGGCAUUGGGCGCAGUGUCGCUCUACAACCCGCAGUGCCCAAACAUCAGUCCCAGACCAUUUACUGCUGCUGUUCAGGGAAUCAGUAUGGCAGCUCGGAAGGGUGGCAGUUCCAGACCCCCAUGCCCACUAGUUGGCAGCAUUUCAUUAUGAAGUUACAUGUCUCCGUUUAGUCCUUCUGCUCUGAUCCAAUACAUUUCUGUCCAGUCAGGAUUCUGUAGGGAGCAGGUAAGUCUCUUCUGUUCCACUGGGCGGAUGCAGUUAUGGAGAGGCCGAUUCCCCACACCCAAAGUGCUCCCUGUUGUGUGAGUUUAGUUUGCUUGUUAGGGCAGGUACAGCAUCUCAGGGGUACCAGAAGGAUAUUCACCAUAGAAUGGACAAAGGGUUAAUAUAUUUAUAGCUGGAGGCUGCAGGGGUCAGUAUAUUCAGAACUGGUGGUUGCAGGGGUCAGUAUAUUCAUAGCUGGAGGCUGCAGGGGUGAGUAUAUUCAGAACUGGUGGUUGCAGGGGUCAGUAUAUUCAGAACUGGUGGUUGCAGGGGUCAGUAUAUUCAGAACUGGUGGUUGCAGGGGUCAGUAUAUUCAGAACUGGUGGUUGCAGGGGUCAGUAUAUUCAUAGCUGGAGGCUGCAGGGGUCAGUAUAUUCAGAAACUGGUGGUUGCAGGGGUCAGUAUAUUCAUAGCUGGAGGCUGCAGGGGUCAGUAUAUUCAUAGCUGGAGGCUGCAGGGGUCAGUAUAUUCAGAACUGGUGGCUGCAGGGGUCAGUAUAUUCAGAACUGGAGGCUGCAGGGGUCAGUAUAUUCAGAACUGGUGGUUGCAGGGGUCAGUAUAUUCAGAACUGGAGGCUGCAGGGGUCAGGUUUUUGAGAGUUGGAUGCUACAUGGAUCAGUAUAUUCAGAGCUGGAGGCCCAAGGGGUCUUUUCAUUAAGAACUAGAGGAUGCAGGGAUCAGUUAUUCAUAGCUGGAGGUUGCAGGGGUCAGUAUAUUCAGAACUGGAGGCUGCAGGGGUCAGGUUUUUGAGAGCUGGAUGCUACAUGGAUCCGUAUAUUCAGAGCUGGAGGCCCAAGGGGUCUUUUCAUUAAGAACUAGAGGAUGCAGGGAUCAGUUAUUCAGAGCUGGAGGCUGCAGGGGUCAGUAUAUUCAGAACUGGAGGCUGCAGGGGUCAGUAUAUUCAGAACUUGAGGCUGCAGGGGUCAGUAUAUUCAGAACUUGAGGCUGCAGGGGUCAGUAUAUUCAGAACUUGAGGCUGCAGGGGUCUGUUCAUUAAGGAGGCUGCAGGAGUCAUUUAUUCAAAGCUGGAGGCUGAAGCGUCAGUUUAUUGAGAACUGGAGGCUGAGGGUCAGUAUAUUGAGAACUGGAGGCUGCAGGGGUCCCUAUAUUUAGAAGGAUAUUCACCAUAGAAUGGACUAGGCGUUAAUAUAUUCAGAACUGGAGGCUGCAGGGGUCAGUAUAUUAAAAAUGGGGGCAUUUAUUCAAUCCUGGAGGCUGCGGGGGUCCCUUUAUUUAAAACUGGAGGCUGCAGGGGUUAGUAUAUUCAGAAGCAUAUUCACCAUAUAAUGAACUAGGGGUUAGUAAAUUUAGAGCUGGAGGCUGCAGGGGUCAGUUUAUUCUGUUAUGGAGGCUGCAGGGGUUAGUUUAUUCUGAUAUGGAGGCUGCAGGGGUCAGUUUAUUCUGAUAUGGAGGCUGCGGGGGUCAGUUUAUUCUGAUAUGGAGGCUGCAGGGGUCAGUUUAUUCUGAUAUGGAGGCUGCAGGGAUCGGAUGAAGGUGCCAUUUAUAUUAAAGGGAACGAUCAUCUCAUGAACAAAAGGACAAUCAGAAGGAAUAUUUGGGGGGGCAAUUAAUAAGGGAACACAGGAAUCCAAGUUGGGGGCGGGUAUUUAAUUUGCACAUUCAGCCAAAUAUGAGUUUUUUUCUGUAUUUAAUUUGGGGGGGCAGGAGUGACUGAGAUUGUUGGGAAGUUGCCAGACUGUCGGGGGGCACUAAGGGAAGGAGUCACCCCAUUGCUGGCUUUGCCCCCUGCCGGGGUAUCUGGCCGGCCAGUAUGUGUUCCAUUGCUGAGUUACUUGCCCUGGGCAUUCGCAUGGCAUCAGUGUGGCACUCCGACCCGCGGGCACAGUGGAACUAAAUGCUGCUUUAUUGUGGGGGGGCAAUAUUUUGGGGAGACAGUGGCCUUUGGGACUGUGCCACCCCCCAUUCCCCUCGUUCUGUUACAGUUUGUGUUUCAUGAUUU